GAUAAUGCUGGGGCAGGAGGCGCGGGAAUGAGGGGAGGGCAGGCGUUGUGCGGGAUCGCUGGGCGGGAGGGGUGGGGGGGCGGGUGGGUAAGUGUGAGGUGAAAGCGGCGGGCGUAAGCCGGAAAUGUCAGUGAAUCAUGAGCGGCGAGAGGAUGGGAGGGGAGAAUGGAAGGCUCGGUGGAGCAGGGAAAUGCGUAGAUCUCGAGCGGAACACCAGUGGCGAAGGCGAGUCUCUUGACAAUUCCUGACGCUGAGGCACGAAAGCCAGGGGAGCAAACGGGAUUAGAGACCCCGGUAGUC
rnacentral:rRNA from 1 species